GUCUCUGUAGAGCAAGGAAUAGCGUGUUGGAUUUCUAAUUCAAAGGUCGUGGAUUCGAAUCUCACCUGGGAUG
rnacentral:tRNA from 1 species